UACGUAGGGUGCGAGCGUUAAUCGGAAUUACUGGGCGUAAAGCGUGCGCAGGCGGUUUUGCAAGCCGGAUGUGAAAUCCCCGGGCUCAACCUGGGAAUGGCAUUUGGGACUGCAAGGCUGGAGUGCGGCAGAGGAGACUGGAAUUCCUGGUGUAGCAGUGAAAUGCGUAGAUAUCAGGAGGAAUACCGAUGGCGAAGGCAGGUCUCUGGGCUGACACUGACGCUCAUGCACGAAAGCGUGGGGAGCAAACAGG
rnacentral:rRNA from 1 species